rnacentral:rRNA from 1 species
GAUUGAACGCUGGCGGCAGGCCUAACACAUGCAAGUCGAGCGGCAGCGGGAAGUAGUUUACUACUUCGCCGGCGAGCGGCGGACGGGUGAGUAAUGUCUGGGGAUCUGCCUGAUGGAGGGGGAUAACUACUGGAAACGGUAGCUAAUACCGCAUGACCUCGUAAGAGCAAAGUGGGGGACCUUCGGGCCUCACGCCAUCGGAUGAACCCAGAUGGGAUUAGCUAGUAGGUGGGGUAAUGGCUCACCUAGGCGACGAUCCCUAGCUGGUCUGAGAGGAUGACCAGCCACACUGGAACUGAGACACGGUCCAGACUCCUACGGGAGGCAGCAGUGGGGAAUAUUGCACAAUGGGCGCAAGCCUGAUGCAGCCAUGCCGCGUGUGUGAAGAAGGCCUUCGGGUUGUAAAGCACUUUCAGCGAGGAGGAAGGCAGUCGU